rnacentral:lncRNA from 1 species
AUGAGGAUCAGAGUACAUACAGCUGGACUGUGGAAGUCUCUUUCUCCUACCCAGUCAACAGAAAACAUGUUCACACACAUCUAUGGAAUAGUUUUCCCAUACUUCUGUAAUCUGGAUGAAGACACAAACCACCCUCUGAAGCUGCUACCAGAGUAUGUCUCUGUAGGUAAGUGGGAGCGUCCAUUCGACAGGCGUCACACCGUCAAUGGCGUUUCCACGUGUGGAAGUUCCCAUGAUGUUCCGUGAAGUC